GUGUGUUACACUUGUGGUGCCUAAGCUCCUAUCCGUGUGUGAAAAUUCAUCUCUUUUGGCAUAAAUACAAACAGCCGAAUUUUAGUUUUGUUGACAAAACCAUAACCAGUCCAACAGUGCAGGGGGUAUACAGGUGGACAUCAUACCCAAGGAGGCAUCUGAACACCCAGAACUAACACUCCUAAGGCUAAGAUGAGCCUACUUAAUCUCCUGUCCUAUCAGGUGUAUUUGCAAAAACUCUUCAAGUUACACGUGUGCGUGCACACUGCAUGUGCAAAGACGCCCUAACUUUGGGGAACGACCAUCAAUCUAAAGAUGGGAACAUGCAUGUGCAAUCACACAGACAGUCCUUCAGCGCCUACACAGACACUGGCCCACGGUCAACUCUAGGAAUAUGUUAGCACCUUAUCCUGGGGUAUCUGGGACAGAUUUUUUUUUUCUCAAAGAAAGUAGGAAAUGAAAUUUGAAUCUGAGAGUCACCAGUGUUGAUCUGGAGGUUGUUCAAGGGGCAAGAAACUUUGUAGAAAGCCUGGGGUGUUGCCUUCGGUGCUGGCCGGACCCAAGGGACUGCCUUCAGAGCUGGGGAGGGGAUACUUGAUGGUUCUGGUUAAAAGCUGCCCAGAGGAUAGGGAAUUAUAGCCAUAAAGAGAUGUACACCAUUCAGUACCCACCUUUCUGACCGGCAGUCCCCAUCCAUCCUUGGCCUCAACUCUCCGGCUGUUGGGAUUCCCACCCGGGGCACUUCUCUAUUUAUUCCUCGCAUCUGGCUAGGACGCAAUAGCGUCUAUUGGAGGCUCAAGCGCAUCUCCCGCCGCGGGGAGGCAUCUGGGCACCCGGGCCCUGGGUUCAGAGGCCGCCAAGUUUGUUAAUCACUGGGGGACGUCGUGCAACCGCUUUGCCCUGUCCUGGGAGACUAGGCAAGGCGAGGAACAGGCUGUAAACACAGAUCCUGACACGUGAGUGACACUUACACUGUGCGAAGAGCCGCAGAGAAAGGCAAGGGAUGGGGUGGGGGUGGGGGUAUCAGGCUUGGACAGGUAAUGAAAGAUUCACAAAUGCCCUCGACCCUCUCCCUGUCACGGGUAGAGAACCCUUAGUUCCCGGUACCCUGCGUUUUGUGGAAGGUGACAGGUGAACGGGAUUCAGGCAGGGAUGUUACUCUUGGAGUAUGUGAAGACAGUUUGCUUUUUGACAAGCGAGCUAGCGGGCGCCCAGAUUUCUACAGCCUUUGGAGUCUCCCCGGAGGGAAAGAACAAACCUCGGACUGGGGAGCCACCCUGGAAGGGCUCUGCGUAGGGGAACCGCCCCACCCUUUGGCCCCAGACUCUCCUGCCUGGGGCUCCCCGCUUGGUGCUACUGAAGGAUUGCCUCAAGCUCUGAGGAUGAAGCUGGGGUUUAGGGUUCCGGAAACCUCUCUGAAUAACAACUGUGGGGGAGAAACAGACUCUGCCAACAUUUCUUCCCGGCCUCACAACGGAAAGGACUGUUUUCCUAAAGCUGUUGGCUUCGGUCACAGAACCAGUGGCCCGCCACUAUUGCCCCUGUCUCCUGUAUAAAGCAUUAACUUCUCUGUGCUUGCUGGUACCGUUCAUCUCUCUCUCUCUCUCUCUCUCUCUCUCUCUCUCUCUCUCUCUCUCUCUCUCUCUCUCUCUCUCUCCUGUUAUUGAUGCUGGUUACUCAUUUCAGAAACCUGGAUGCUUACAUUUUAAGUGGGAAGAGACCUGAUCUGUUUUGAGAGCAUCAACUGAACAAAGCCACCAGCAUCUGAAAAUCCGUCUCCAGGUUACCCCUCAUGCCCCCAGGAGACCCCAUUGGGGAAUGAUUCUUGCACUUUUGCUGUCUCUCUAACCUGUUUCUCUCUUAUAGAGCAGAAAAAUGAAAUGAUUUUUUCCCCCACUAGGCAAAGGUAUGUGGGGAGGAGGCAGGACCAGGAGAAGGUGGGGUGAGGGUCAGAGAGGCUGUGGAGGAGCCCAUCAUCUUCAAUGAGGACUGUCUUCCACCCCCAGGCUUGCGGGCCUUGUUCGGCUAGAGAAGGCUGUUUUAUAUUGAUGAGAGAGGUUGUCUGCAGCAGCAAAUGUGCUCUUUCACUAUGAAAUCUGUACAUUGUUUUGGUCACAACCUUACAGAGAUCUGCUUGAUCACCAGUAUCGACACAAUAUAAGUCUGUGGGACCUUCAUUAUUUCCAAGAGGAGCACCAUGUCUGUGACACUAGAACAGAGAAGUAGCUUGGCCCAUGGCAGGCAAACAGGAGCCCAAUUCCUCCUCCUCUUCUCCCUGCAGCGAUCUGAACAAUUCUGGGGGGAGAAAAAGCCUCCCUGGGCGUCAGCUGAGAAGGUUGGGGAACUAACCAGGGCUCAUGCGCGCUCUCUCUCUAGGGCCCUGUUAAAUGCACUGAACUUAAAAUGAAACACGAAGUGUGAAUUUCAGGUUUGAACACGAUGCAUCGGGAAAUGUGAAGGUUGGCAGCCCUUGCCUCCCUCCUGCCUUUCGGUAGUAGCAGGUAUUAAUAUUGUAUUAAAUGUUAUGAGAAAGUAAGGGCUGUGGAGAGGAAUGUGCUCAGAUGCAAUUUUGUCAAGGUUUUUAUCUGUGAUUAUGGUUCCAGAUGUAGAAACUCCCGGAGGAGGGAAAUGAGGGGCUGCUGGCAUGUGACAUGUGUUUUAAGGUGUUUGGCAGUGUUUUUCAAAGUGGUGACAAAAUGUUCAAUUUUAUUACAGGGAAUUGGUAAAAGAAAUACGAAUUCUAGGUCAGAGAUUAUUCACCUUCAGCAAAAACAAUUUACCAUUAUUGACUAGGGUGUGGAAAGUUUGUAUCUGGGCCCUCCUCAAAUAACAUUGCCAACAAUAUAAAUCUGUCAGAUCAAAUUAUUCUUAAAGAACAAUUGCAACAAAAUACACAAUAGCUAAUUGCAUUCUCCUCCUUCCUCCAGCUAAUUUCCACAAAAAGAUACACGCUGCCCUGGAAUGAAAAGGAAAGUGGAUAUUACAACAAGAGGCCUUGCAUUUCAUGUGCUAUGAGGACAUCUUGUAUCCAGAGGGUCAGUUCUUUUUAACUUAGUCCAGAAUAACAGUCAGUCCUAAAAAGGACAUUUUGCUAGCUCCUGCUCUCAGUCUUUCAGAUUAAAGAGAGCAAUAAAAUUUUCCCACAUAGGGAACCUUAGUUACUUAGUUAAAUGAGAAUCAGGAAGAUUCUGUAGGAGGAAGUAGGGAUGUGGUGAUGGGAGAGGAAGUAGAAGAACCAUCAGGUGGCUGACAUCUCUUCUAGUUGCAUGCACUUGAUACUGGGAAAUUUUCCCACCCGUCUUUCUUUAUUGGAAGGCAUCUCCACCAUCCCUCUCAGAAUGCAAGACACCCUAAACUCCAUUCUGAAUGCAAGUUUCUCUAAUAAAUCUUUUAUGAGUUUCACAUACACCAGCAUUAAUAAAUUGGGGUGCCCAGCUAUGGUUCACUAGCCUGAAGGUGGGUUUGGUAACCACUUCCACAGAACAGAAAGAGGUUUUGCCUCAAGAUUCUGAGUUUGGUUUCUCCAGGGAUCCUCCACCAAAGGCUAAAAGACUGUACCAUUUUCCAACACUACUACUGCUUACAAGUCAUCCCACACCUAGCACCCCAUUCAACCCUAUCCUUUCUGUUAUCCUAACCAAGGGAUCCUGGUUUGUGCUCUCCAACCUUGACAUGAUUUUACCAUCCCAGAUCAUACUAGACUUCAACUUAAAUUGUACCUUCCUUGGGAGUCCAGAAACUUCCUCUCUUUGGUGUGGGUUCAGGUUUUGGAAGGUUUUCCAACCUUCCAACCAGAAUAGUGAGUUUGGGAGAGAAAGAUGUCAACAUGACUACUAUCUCAUCCAGAACUCUUAGCAAAAGACCAGCCCAACUUUUCCCUAGGUCUGAUUAGCAAAUCUUUAUUGCUGUCCAGGGAAGCUGCCAUUGUCUCCUUAGGUGAGAAAUGAGUCAUUUCCCACAGAUGCUUCAGCUAAAGCCCAGCCCCUAGGCUCCCACUCCCCCAACGUUUUUAUUCUCCCAUUAAUUAAAACAACUAAUGUCCCCUUGAUUAUCUUUGCAUGAAUGGAAAUCAUUAAAGCCCUUGCAGGUAUAUGGGAAAUUCUGUUUGCUUAAGUAUUCACACUUUGAUUUCCUAUAGACUCAUUUUUUCAAGCAUAAAGAGAUUCAAACAAAACAAAACAAAAACAAAUCUCUGUUACUCUGCCGUGAAAUAUGAAAACUAGUUUUCAGUGAGCUCGUGGGUGUCUCUGGCCGGAAGAGGUGUUCAGAUGAUCCUGUACUGUCACUGAAGUUGACCCUUCAAUAAAGGGGUCUCAGACAGUUAAGGCAGACAUUGAUAGGUUGGCAGACACGGGUUUUUAAUUUGUGCCUGUUUGUAGUCAUACAAGCGUUUCCAAGUUGACUUUCAAACCACUGUGUCAGCCCUCAAAAGUGAACAAGGAAAAAAGGAAGGAGAAGAGGAAGAGGAGAAGGAGAGAGGAGGGAAAGGAGGAGGAGGGGAGGGAGAAGAGGAGGAGGAGGGAAGGCAGUGGACAAUUGGAUCUGUUUGAAACUUCCCAAUCAGUUGACCGGUUCAGCUUGCAUUCAUUUCUGGGGGCAGCCAUAAUUAGAGUGAUCUAUUUUGCAUUUACUUCUCUGUGCAAGCAUUACCCACUCUUCCCUUGCUUAUUAAACAGUGCCACCUGCACCAGACCCAACACAGCUCUUCCAUCACUGAGGCUCAGCUAAGGGUCCCAGACCAUAUAUUACCAUUAACUGAAGCUGAGUAGUUGAUGACAAGUAAAAUCAGUUUCUGGGAUCUGUUUUUGAACAAUCUUUUCAGAAAAAAAAAUUAUGAAUUCUUCAGAUUGUCAUCUUUUAUAAACCAUUUUAUUUUCUCUAUAUAGUAACUUAAACAGCAAUUAGCAAGUUGUUUAAUUAAUGCAUGUCCUCUGCAUGUCACCAAGGUGUCUCCAGCACAAACGUUCGUAGGUACUAGCCAAUGCGGUCAAUAUUUUGUCAUUCAAAGCCUCUGAGGCUGGCCACCUUGUUAGCCAUAACAGUAUAAAAAGGAUCUGAAGAGUCCAUUACAAGGCUAAGAAGCAAAGGACAGUUUUCAGGAAACUAGCCAUAGAUAAUCUGAAUCCAGACAGAGGGACAGGCAGAAGAAAGUGAGGCAGGAGCAGAGAAGAGAGAGGCAGAAAAUGAAUCUACAUAGACAUCAGUGACUUAAGAAAGGCACAGGAAGUUUCAAGCAAACAUGGGACCAUUUCUGACAUUCAGCUAUGUUCUAACAAACUCGGCUCUCCAAAGCUGAUGAUUUACACAUCUUUAAGAGCCUCAAACCUCACUGUGGCUUGUUCUUUUAAAAGCUUCCUGCUUUGUUCCAAAUACUGCUUAUCGUUGGCAUUGUCAACAGCUCUGCAUCUGGGAGAGAUUAAUUAAGUGAUAGGUCAGACACAAUGAGGUGAAAGGGCAUGUCCACCCAAUCAGAGCUGAUUCAUCCGUUUCAGGAUGGAUCAACCUUUUUUUUCUUCUUCUUUUUUCUUUCUUUCUGAGAGAGAAAGAGAGAGAGAGGGAGGGAGGGAGGGAGAGAGAGAGAGAGAGAGAGAGAAAGAGAGAGAGAGAGAGAGAGAGAGAGAGGGAGAGAGAGAGUCCAAUUUUGGUUCCAUCUCAAGGGGGGAUUUAUCAAUAGGGAUGUCUGAGCUCCUUUGGUGAGGUGCACAUAGCUGAAAAGAAUGUUCUACAGAUAGGGGAAAAAACUAAAAAUCUACACUCUGUCUUUUUAAGGUAUAAAAAUAAAUUCCAACUAUCAA
ensembl:lncRNA